GUGGGGAUGACGUCAAGUCCUCAUGGCCCUUAUAGGUGGGGCUACACACGUCAUACAAUGGCUGGUACAAAGGGUUGCCAACCCGCGAGGGGGAGCUAAUCCCAUAAAACCAGUCGUAGUCCGGAUCGCAGUCUGCAACUCGACUGCGUGAAGUCGGAAUCGCUAGUAAUCGUGGAUCAGAAUGUCACGGUGAAUACGUUCCCGGGUCUUGUACACACCGCCCGUCACACCAUGGGAGCGGGUCUCGCCAGAAGUAGUUAGCCUAACCGCAAGGAGGGCGAUUACCACGGCGGGGUUCGUGACUGGGGUGAAGUCGUAACAAGGUAGCCGUAUCGGAAGGUGCGGCUGGAUCACCUCCUUUCUG
rnacentral:rRNA from 1 species